rnacentral:lncRNA from 1 species
AGGACCUUCUGAUUUAGAGUUGUCUGUUUGAACUGGAUGGUUGAAGCCAUGUGAACGAAUGAGAACUACAAAAGGGAAGAGUGAGAAGUGCAGAGACUGAGAAUUCCACAUCAACAGUAUAGUUGGUAGAGGGAACCCAGUAGGAAAGAACUGUGUGAGAAGGGAGGCAGUGCUGAGUGAUGCCAAAGACUACAGAGAGAAGAGGUGAAAUGAAGACUAAGCACAAGCCAUGGGCUGGUCAGAAGUGGACUUGAGAGCUGAGCUGCAGGGUCACCCUCAAUGCAGUGCUUGUGGAUGAGAAGAAAGUCAGAUGGAGCCUUGUUGAUGAGAAGGAAUGAGAAGCUGGAACUGUCUGAGCCAUAUGCUAAGAAGCAACACCUUCUAGCACAAGUACC